CCUACGGGAGGCAGCAGUGAGGAAUAUUGGUCAAUGGGCGCGAGCCUGAACCAGCCAAGUCGCGUGAGGGAUGAAGGUUCUAUGGUUCGUAAACCUCUUUUAUAAGGGAAUAAAGUGUGGGACGUGUCCUAUUUUGUAUGUACCUUAUGAAUAAGGAUCGGCUAACUCCGUGCCAGCAGCCGCGGUAAUACGGAGGAUCCGAGCGUUAUCCGGAUUUAUUGGGUUUAAGGGGUGCGUAGGCGGCCAUUUAAGUCAGCGGUGAAAGUCUGUGGCUCAACCAUAGAAUUGCCGUUGAAACUGGGUGGCUUGAGUAUGUUUGAGGCAGGCGGAAUGCGUGGUGUAGCGGUGAAAUGCGUAGAUAUCACGCAGAACCCCGAUUGCGAAGGCAGCCUGCUAAGCCAUGACUGACGCUGAUGCACGAAAGCGUGGGGAUCAAACAGGAUUAGAUACCCGUGUAGUC
rnacentral:rRNA from 1 species